CGUAGGGGCGUAGCGUUGUCCGGAAUCACUGGGCGUAAAGGGUUACGGCAGGCGGAAUAAACAAGUCAGAUGUGAAAGGACAUGGGCUCAACCCAUGUAAGCAUUUGAAACUGUAAUUCUUGAGAAGUGGAGAGGUAAGUGGAAUUCCUAGUGUAGCGGUGAAAUGCGUAGAUAUUAGGAGGAAUACCUGUGGCGAAGGCGACUUACUGGACACAAAUCUGACGCUGAGGAACGAAAGCGUGGGUAGCAAACAGGAUU
rnacentral:rRNA from 1 species